rnacentral:rRNA from 1 species
AGAGUUUGAUCCUGGGUCAGGACGAACGCUGGCGGCGUGCUUAACACAUGCAAGUCGAGCGACAGUGUUCUUCGGGACAUAUGGAGCGGCGAACGGGUGAGUAACACGUGGGCAACCUGCCCUCAGCUCUGGGAUAACUCCGGGAAACCGGGGCUAAUACCGGAUAUGACCUUGUGCCUCAUGGUGCUUGGUGGAAAGUUCUUCGGCUGAGGAUGGGCCCGCGGCCUAUCAGCUUGUUGGUGGGGUAAUGGCCUACCAAGGCGACGACGGGUAGCCGGCCUGAGAGGGCGACCGGCCACACUGGGACUGAGACACGGCCCAGACUCCUACGGGAGGCAGCAGUGGGGAAUAUUGCGCAAUGGGCGGAAGCCUGACGCAGCGACGCCGCGUGAGGGAUGAAGGCCUUCGGGUUGUAAACCUCUUUCAGCAGGGACGAAGCGAGAGUGACGGUACCUGCAGAAGAAGCACCGGCCAACUACGUGCCAGCAGCCGCGGUAAUACGUAGGGUGCAAGCGUUGUCCGGAAUUAUUGGGCGUAAAGAGCUCGUAGGCGGUCUGUCGCGUCGGCUGUGAAAACUCGGGGCUCAACCCCGAGCCUGCAGUCGAUACGGGCAGACUAGAGUGCUGUAGGGGAGACUGGAAUUCCUGGCGUAGCGGUGAAAUGCGCAGAUAUCAGGAGGAACACCGGUGGCGAAGGCGGGUCUCUGGGCAGUAACUGACGCUGAGGAGCGAAAGCGUGGGGAGCGAACAGGAUUAGAUACCCUGGUAGUCC